UGGAAUUGAACGUUUCAAGUUUUGAUCCCAC
rnacentral:piRNA from 1 species